rnacentral:rRNA from 1 species
GACGAACGCUGGCGGCGUGCUUAACACAUGCAAGUCGAACGGAAAGGCCCUGCUUUUGUGGGGUGCUCGAGUGGCGAACGGGUGAGUAACACGUGAGUAACCUGCCCUUGACUUUGGGAUAACUUCAGGAAACUGGGGCUAAUACCGGAUAGGAGCUCCUGCUGCAUGGUGGGGGUUGGAAAGUUUCGGCGGUUGGGGAUGGACUCGCGGCUUAUCAGCUUGUUGGUGGGGUAGUGGCUUACCAAGGCUUUGACGGGUAGCCGGCCUGAGAGGGUGACCGGCCACAUUGGGACUGAGAUACGGCCCAGACUCCUACGGGAGGCAGCAGUGGGGAAUAUUGCACAAUGGGCGGAAGCCUGAUGCAGCAACGCCGCGUGCGGGAUGACGGCCUUCGGGUUGUAAACCGCUUUCGCCUGUGACGAAGCGUGAGUGACGGUAAUGGGUAAAGAAGCACCGGCUAACUACGUGCCAGCAGCCGCGGUGAUACGUAGGGUGCGAGCGUUGUCCGGAUUUAUUGGGCGUAAAGGGCUCGUAGGUGGUUGAUCGCGUCGGAAGUGUAGUCUUGGGGCUUAACCCUGAGCGUGCUUUCGAUACGGGUUGACUUGAGGAAGGUAGGGGAGAAUGGAAUUCCUGGUGGAGCGGUGGAAUGCGCAGAUAUCAGGAGGAACACCAGUGGCGAAGGCGGUUCUCUGGGCCUUUCCUGACGCUGAGGAGCGAAAGCGUGGGGAGCGAACAGGCUUAGAUACCCUGGUAGUCCACGCUGUAAACGGUGGGUACUAGGUGUGGGGUCCAUUCCACGGGUUCCGUGCCGUAGCUAACGCUUUAAGUACCCCGCCUGGGGAGUACGGCCGCAAGGCUAAAACUCAAAGGAAUUGACGGGGCCCCGCACAAGCGGCGGAGCAUGCGGAUUAAUUCGAUGCAACGCGUAGAACCUUACCUGGGUUUGACAUGGAUCGGGAGUGCUCAGAGAUGGGUGUGCCUCUUUUGGGGUCGGUUCACAGGUGGUGCAUGCCUGUCGUCAGCUCGUGUCGUGAGAUGUUGGGUUAAGUCCCGCAACGAGCGCAACCCUUGUUCACUGUUGCCAGCACGUUAUGGUGGGGACUCAGUGGAGACCGCCGGGGUCAACUCGGAGGAAGGUGGGGAUGACGUCAAGUCAUCAUGCCCCUUAUGUCCAGGGCUUCACGCAUGCUACAAUGGCUGGUACAGAGAGUGGCGAGCCUGUGAGGGUGAGCGAAUCUCGGAAAGCCGGUCUCAGUUCGGAUUGGGGUCUGCAACUCGACCUCAUGAAGUCGGAGUCGCUAGUAAUCGCAGAUCAGCAACGCUGCGGUGAAUACGUUCCCGGGGCU